UUCUUAUAUAUGUUGCAACAUACUCACGUGCCAGAUAACAUUUGUGCCAUUGUGGUAUACAUGGCACAAAAUCCCACAACUUCUUUAU